GGGGGGAACAACCACCAACCAGAAGUUUCCAAGGGUCACCAAAUACUGUCCCAAAUAAUGAGAUCACAUCUGUUGAGGAGGAAAAAUCACUAUUCUGCUGAAGGAAAGAGGGAUGAAUAAUCCAUCCAAUUACUCUGCUCGGGAGAAAACCACAAACGACUCCGGAGGAAAAAGAUACAAGUAUGCCAGGAAUAUGAACAAACGUCUCAUCCUGUCAAGAAUCUUAC
rnacentral:lncRNA from 1 species